UCGAGAAUUUUUCACAAUGGGCGAAAGCCUGAUGGAGCGACGCCGCGUGGGGGAUGAAUGGCUUCGGCCCGUAAACCCCUGUCAUUUGCGAACAAACCUUAUCAUUUAAAAGAUGAUGAGCUGAUUGUAGCGAAAGAGGAAGGGACGGCUAACUCUGUGCCAGCAGCCGCGGUAAUACAGAGGUCCCAAGCGUUGUUCGGAUUCACUGGGCGUAAAGGGUGCGUAGGUGGCCGGUUAAGUCUGACGUGAAAUCUCCGAGCCUAACUCGGAAACUGCAUCGGAAACUAUCCGGCUCGAGGGUUGGAGGGGGGACUGGAAUACUUGGUGUAGCAGUGAAAUGCGUAGAUAUCAAGUGGAACACCAGUGGCGAAGGCGAGUCCCUGGACAACUCCUGACACUGAGGCACGAAAGCUAGGGGAGCAAACAG
rnacentral:rRNA from 1 species